AGCUGCUGGGCGGGAACCGGGAGCGCACGGCGUUCUGCCGUUCUGCCGUUCUCCCUUCGCUGCUUCCCGAGCUGUAGCCCGGCACCCUCCUUCCCCGCAGCCCUCGUUCGGCAUCGCAGCGCUGGGUGCUGAGGCGGCGGUUGCCGCAGGCUGAGCCCUGGCGUUCCCGUGAACGCGAGCGGUGCUCGGCAUCCACGAGGGCUGACAUGUGAGAGAUAAGAGACAGAUUGGCGUUUCACGGUGUGCGACGGAAGCCCUUUUCGAGCGAAGGAUGGCGCUCGCGUGCUGCGGAGAGCCGUAGUGUGAGAUGAGAUCAUCAUCUACUAACACCAGUUCGUUCUUUGCUCCCCUCCUGGAGCAAUGCCUACUGAUCCCUCCCAAGAGAAAACCUGGGUGCAGACGGCAGAUGUUUUCUCCAGUGUCCAGUGAAGCCAAAUAGCAUGAAUGGCAAGUCACAUCAAGUUUGUUUUUCUCCACCUGAGACAGCAUUGCAGUGUUAUCCUGAAUGGUUACUAAACCACUGCCCUUUACUCCACUGGAUUGGAGCUGUCCUACUGAGUGCACUGGACCUGUCCUGGGAGUAACUGGUGGAAAAUUUCCUUCAGCUCAAGGAACAACAGCUGUUGACCGUGGUGCAGGACUAAUUGGGAAGGCUACAGAGAAGGAUUCUCAGGAGACAGCUAUCUUUGCUUUUGGCAUUGGUGAAAAUAGUAAUGGUUCAUCCGCGUGAUAGUUCUCUGUAAGUAGAUUUAUGUCUGGAUAGUGUGCAGUGCAGAUUAUUUGGCAAAUGCAGCCAGUUUAGAAGCAGUAUCUUCUCAGAAUACGGUUGGAAAAAACAACAAACAGAAAAACACAAUAAAACCCCCCCACAAAACAACAGUAAAAACAAUCCUUUAGUUAUAAAAGGGAAGCACUGAGUGUGAAGAGGACAUCAGCUAUAAACUGAUUAUUAGCUGAUUACUAGCCAGUUUUAUGAUCUCAGUGAACUCAAAGACAUGUUGAGAAUGUCUCUCACUGAGAGAACCCCGUGGAGCUGGGUUGACCACGUGCAUGAUGCAACCUAUAUCUGUGUGAAGUGCUUCGUGUUCAUGAAGUUAAUAAGCUCCAAACAGCAUUGGCUCCAUGUGCAGAGUAAAGGUUUAAGUCUCUGUUUCUCCAAUUUAUGUUCACUGUAAGAUAUGCAUACAAUUUGUAUUCUGAUUGUAUCUUUCUAUGUUAUGGUGGGGUAGCCUGCUGAUAAAGAAGGAAAAGUGUGGAUAAUAGGCUGUAAACUGUUCUGAAAAGGCAGAGGGCUUUGUAGUGAUAGAAAAGCUAACCUAGAU